rnacentral:rRNA from 1 species
GACGAACGCUGGCGGCGUGCUUAACACAUGCAAGUCGAGCGGUAAGGCCUUUCGGGGUCCACGAGCGGCGAACGGGUGAGUAACACGUGGGUGAUCUGCCCUGCACUUCGGGAUAAGCCUGGGAAACUGGGUCUAAUACCGGAUAUGACCUCCUAUCGCAUGGUGGGUGGUGGAAAGAUUUAUCGGUGCAGGAUGGGCCCGCGGCCUAUCAGCUUGUUGGUGGGGUAAUGGCCUACCAAGGCGACGACGGGUAGCCGACCUGAGAGGGUGACCGGCCACACUGGGACUGAGACACGGCCCAGACUCCUACGGGAGGCAGCAGUGGGGAAUAUUGCACAAUGGGCGAAAGCCUGAUGCAGCGACGCCGCGUGAGGGAUGACGGCCUUCGGGUUGUAAACCUCUUUCAGCAGGGACGAAGCGCAAGUGACGGCACCUGCAGAAGAAGCACCGGCUAACUACGUG